GCGGCCACGCAAAUUAGGGGGCGUGGUCACGCCUCCGUCAUUUUAGGGGGCGGUGCGGCCCACAGACGCUACUAUAGAGAGCGUCUGUGGCCGGCGACGUCACUGUUGGGGGCGUGCCCAGCACCUCCGUCGGUGCUGGGCUUCCCCCAGCCCUCUCCCAAUGCGUGAAUGGAUGCCGCGCGCAUGCGCACGGCAUCUAUACACGCCGGGAGGGCAGGGAGCGGGCGGCUGUUCUAGCAGGGCGCCGCAAAAGGGGCAGGGCGGGUUUUGCCUGUUAAAAAACGGGCAGGGCGCGGCGCCCUGCUAAAACAGCCUAGAGUGAACACUAGUUAUGUUUGGUAGGAACUUCAGUGACCAGGACAGAUCAAUUUGUUAAGUAUUCACAUGUGAUGCCAAAACAGGACUCUAAGUCUUGAAAAGCUUAUAAUAUGGACCAAAGGCUGUCUACAGGGAUCCCAUCACUGGAAAUACACUUUGUGGGACAUACAUGCAAUGUAAGGGAAUCCCAUCUGUCAAAAUACAGACGCCGGAAUCCCGACACGGAUCAGAAUGGCGGCACCGGGAACCCGAAUAGGAUCACAAUGCCGGCGCCAUCAUCACAGUCAAUGGACUGCUGGACCGACGGAGAGUGUUUCAUAUGUUGUGCUGUAUUCAACUGCAUCCGAUACACAAUAACAGCACUAGUUGUGGAGCUUACUAAAUAUGAAUAAAACUACCAGGAACUGUGGCACAACUUUAAGGAAAGGUAAUCUUUUCCUACACUUCCUCUUUGGGUGAAGAUGAUAAAGAAAUGCAGGAAAAUGCACAGCUAUCAGAAAGAAAAAUUAUCUACAAAAGUGGGGGGAAAAAUACACUUUAGGUGGAAAAAAUAAAAUGUAUAAAAUCCCAUAUAUACAUAAAGCUACACAUUUGGAGCAUUCCACUUUCAAUG